AGAUUAAGUUAUUAAGGGCGCACGGUGGAUGCCUUGGCACUAGAAGCCGAUGAAGGACGUUACUAACGACGAUAUGCUUUGGGGAGCUGUAAGUAAGCUUUGAUCCAGAGAUUUCCGAAUGGGGAAACCCAGCAUGAGUUAUGUCAUGUUAUCGAUAUGUGAAUACAUAGCAUAUCAGAAGGCACACCCGGAGAACUGAAACAUCUUAGUACCCGGAGGAAGAGAAAGAAAAUUCGAUUCCCUUAGUAGCGGCGAGCGAAACGGGAAGAGCCCAAACCAACAAGCUUGCUUGUUGGGGUUGUAGGACACUCUAUACGGAGUUACAAAGGACGACAUUAGACGAAUCAUCUGGAAAGAUGAAUCAAAGAAGGUAAUAAUCCUGUAGUCGAAAAUGUUGUCUCUCUUGAGUGGAUCCUGAGUACGACGGAGCACGUGAAAUUCCGUCGGAAUCUGGGAGGACCAUCUCCUAAGGCUAAAUACUCUCUAGUGACCGAUAGUGAACCAGUACCGUGAGGGAAAGGUGAAAAGCACCCCGGAAGGGGAGUGAAAUAGAACCUGAAACCGUGUGCUUACAAGUAGUCAGAGCCCGUUAAUGGGUGAUGGCGUGCCUUUUGUAGAAUGAACCGGCGAGUUACGAUUUGAUGCAAGGUUAAGCAGUAAAUGUGGAGCCGUAGCGAAAGCGAGUCUGAAUAGGGCGUUUAGUAUUUGGUCGUAGACCCGAAACCAGGUGAUCUACCCUUGGUCAGGUUGAAGUUCAGGUAACACUGAAUGGAGGACCGAACCGACUUACGUUGAAAAGUGAGCGGAUGAACUGAGGGUAGCGGAGAAAUUCCAAUCGAACCUGGAGAUAGCUGGUUCUCUCCGAAAUAGCUUUAGGGCUAGCCUCAAGUGAUGAUUAUUGGAGGUAGAGCACUGUUUGGACGAGGGGCCCCUCUCGGGUUACCGAAUUCAGACAAACUCCGAAUGCCAAUUAAUUUAACUUGGGAGUCAGAACAUGGGUGAUAAGGUCCGUGUUCGAAAGGGAAACAGCCCAGACCACCAGCUAAGGUCCCAAAAUAUAUGUUAAGUGGAAAAGGAUGUGGCGUUGCCCAGACAACUAGGAUGUUGGCUUAGAAGCAGCCAUCAUUUAAAGAGUGCGUAAUAGCUCACUAGUCGAGUGACACUGCGCCGAAAAUGUACCGGGGCUAAACAUAUUACCGAAGCUGUGGAUUGUCCUUUGGACAAUGGUAGGAGAGCGUUCUAAGGGCGUUGAAGCAUGAUCGUAAGGACAUGUGGAGCGCUUAGAAGUGAGAAUGCCGGUGUGAGUAGCGAAAGACGGGUGAGAAUCCCGUCCACCGAUUGACUAAGGUUUCCAGAGGAAGGCUCGUCCGCUCUGGGUUAGUCGGGUCCUAAGCUGAGGCCGACAGGCGUAGGCGAUGGAUAACAGGUUGAUAUUCCUGUACCACCUAUAAUCGUUUUAAUCGA
rnacentral:rRNA from 1 species